UUGCACAAUGAUGAGUUGCACCAUGUGUGAUUGGAGACUGGAGUCUCUUGUUACAUCACAAUAUUAUUAUUGAUGAAUAAACAAGUGCACAGGGGCCAUCUGAGUGCAA